AACAAGGUGGAUUAUUCUGGAUCUUAAGUUAUUCAGAAGUUGCUUCCCUUUGACCAAUUCUUAGUAGCAACCAGUCAAGCAUUGCAAUAAGUUCCCGCUGUUAUAUGAAUUUUAGUCACAUGACCCCGCUUUUUAUUCAGUUGUCCGACAUGUUUUCAAGGGGACAGGUGGAAUUGUUCCAUUAUAAUAUAGUUUAUGUUCAUGGAGGAGAUUUGGAUUCUUUUGAGCCUUAUAGUAACACAUGGUGGCAGUGUCAGUAACCAGCUCACUGAGAAAGUACAUUUUUGGUGUGUGUGUGUGUCUGUGAAUUCAGCAAAGAGCCCAAUCCACAAUUGAGCUUGAGAUCUGGGAGAGUUGAGAGAUCAGGGGUAUCAGUGAGAUCCUAUUACAGUACAUAUUCAGUUGGAUUAUAAAUGAGAAACUGUACGAGAUUAUGUAUAUGAUCAAGCUGAUUUUGAUAGAACUUUACCGCAAGAGUUACUUUCUAAAUAUACAAGCACUGAAAAUCAUUUAGUUUAAUAUGAACAUUA